rnacentral:misc_RNA from 1 species
AACCAUAGAAACCUGCGGAGUACCUGCGGAAGGAUCAUUACAAAUCUAGUAGGAGGGUGUGGUAUUGAGGAGGAAGAGAGAGGAGAGGGCUUGGUUCAAGUGCAUUUGCCUUGGAUGAUGCCUCUCGCUCUCGCUCCUCUGCUCACCAAUCCACAUUUACGCUUGUUGUGUUUGACAGAGUAUCAUAUUCAUGAGAAUCUAUGACAACUUUUAACAACGGAUCUCAGAUCGGAAGAGCAC